GGAAAUGUGCCUGAAAAAAGGAUAACUUUGAUAGAGUUAAUAAUAGAGCUUAAACCCUCUCAUUUCCU
rnacentral:tRNA from 1 species